UACGGGGGGGGCAAGCGUUGUUCGGAAUUACUGGGCGUAAAGGGCUCGUAGGUGGUCAACUAAGUCGGACGUGGAAUCCCUCGGCUUAACCGGGGAACUGCGUCCGAUACUGGAUGACUUGAGUUCGGGAGAGGGAUGCGGAAUUCCAGGUGUAGCGGUGAAAUGCGUAGAUAUCUGGAGGAACACCGGUGGCGAAGGCGGCAUCCUGGACCGACACUGACGCUGAGGAGCGAAAGCCAGGGGAGCAAACGGG
rnacentral:rRNA from 1 species